GCCAAACAUGAUUCAAAAAAGAGUAACCUUCUAUUGCUGAAUGGAUUUGCCUUACAUGGUUAGAUUAUAUGAAUGUAGCAACAAAAUAUUUUGUACAAGAUUCAUUGGUACGUUCAACUGUCAUGUGGAUUCUAUAAGGCUUUCAUAGCAUAGACUUGCCUUACAUGGUCAAGUUAUAUGCCUACUCUGCGAUGGUCAUCAAAACUUAAAAACUAUCGCAAUUGAAAUGCUAUGCUAUACAGAAUUUAUCAGUAGCUUGUUAUCAUAAUAGUCCAUAUCUAAUCUGCUACUUAAUGAUACAUAACAAAAAAGAGAUUAAACAAAAAAGGCACUAUUCCAAAACAUAAAUAAUAACAAUUCAUUACAGAUUUUUGUAGUCAUUACAGGGCCAUUAUUACAAUUGUAAUCAGCAUUAUCCUAACUGAAGUACAUAAAAGAUAAUCCUCUCCAUCAUAAAUAUUGUAAUGUCAUCUACACUAGUUUAAACCACACAAAAAAGGCAUAAGCCCCAGGCAACCAUUGGUGUUUAUUGCCAUCACAGUCCAUGAUAAUUUUUUGUUCUAGCUAGGCAAAUAAGAAGAGAGACCACAGAACACACAAAGCGGCU
rnacentral:lncRNA from 1 species